UUGGAGGGCAAGUCUGGUGCCAGCAGCCGCGGUAAUUCCAGCUCCAAUAGCGUAUAUUAAAGUUGCUGCAGUUAAAAAGCUCGUAGUUGAAUUUCGGGACCAUCAUGUCGGUCGUGCCUCGGUACGUACUGGUAUUGUUGGUUUCUCCCUUCUGACGAACCAUGAUGUCAUUUAUUUGGUGUUGUGGGGAAUCAGGACUGUUACUUUGAAAAAAUUAGAGUGUUUAAAGCAGGCUCACGCUUGAAUACGUUAGCAUGGAAUAAUGAAAUAGGACGUUUGAUUCUAUUUUGUUGGUUUCUAGGAUCGACGUAAUGAUUAAUAGGGAUAGUUGGGGGCAUUAGUAUUCAAUUGUCAGAGGUGAAAUUCUUGGAUUUAUUGAAGACUAACUACUGCGAAAGCAUUUGCCAAGGAUGUUUUCAUUAAUCAAGAACGAAAGUUAGGGGAUCGAAGACGAUCAGAUACCGUCGUAGUCUUAACCAUAAACUAUGCCGACUAGGGAUCGGAUGAUGUUAAUUUUUUAAUGACUCAUUCGGCGCCUUACGGGAAAC
rnacentral:rRNA from 1 species